UACGUGGGGUGCAAGCGUUAAUCGGAAUUACUGGGCGUAAAGCGUGCGCAGGCGGUUCUAUAAGACAGAUGUGAAAUCCCCGGGCUCAACCUGGGAACUGCAUUUGUGACUGUAGAGCUGGAGUACGGUAGAGGGGGAUGGAAUUCCGCGUGUAGCAGUGAAAUGCGUAGAUAUGCGGAGGAACACCGAUGGCGAAGGCAAUCCCCUGGACCUGUACUGACGCUCAUGCACGAAAGCUGGGGGAGCGAACAGG
rnacentral:rRNA from 1 species